AUUGAACGCUGGCGGCAGGCCUAACACAUGCAAGUCGAGCGGAUGAAGGGAGCUUGCUCCUGGAUUCAGCGGCGGACGGGUGAGUAAUGCCUAGGAAUCUGCCUGGUAGUGGGGGAUAACGUCCGGAAACGGGCGCUAAUACCGCAUACGUCCUGAGGGAGAAAGUGGGGGAUCUUCGGACCUCACGCUAUCAGAUGAGCCUAGGUCGGAUCAGCUAGUUGGUGGGGUAAAGGCCUACCAAGGCGACGAUCCGUAACUGGUCUGAGAGGAUGAUCAGUCACACUGGAACUGAGACACGGUCCAGACUCCUACGGGAGGCAGCAGUGGGGAAUAUUGGACAAUGGGCGGAAGCCUGAUCCAGCCAUGCCGAGUGUGUGAAGAAGGUCUUCGGAUUUGAAAGCACUUUAAGUUGGGAGGAAGGGCAGUAAGUUAAUACCUUGCUGUUUUGACGUUACCAACAGAAUAAGCACCGGCUAACUUCGUG
rnacentral:rRNA from 1 species